ensembl:miRNA gga-mir-2184b gga-mir-2184b
CGGCAGUAGGAGCUCACAUGCAGGCUGCGUUCGCCGCACAUCAACUCUUACUGUUCGGG